rnacentral:rRNA from 1 species
CUGGCUCAGAUUGAACGCUGGCGGCAGGCCUAACACAUGCAAGUCGAGCGGUAGAGAGAAGCUUGCUUCUCUUGAGAGCGGCGGACGGGUGAGUAAUACCUAGGAAUCUGCCUGAUAGUGGGGGAUAACGUUCGGAAACGGACGCUAAUACCGCAUACGUCCUACGGGAGAAAGCAGGGGACCUUCGGGCCUUGCGCUAUCAGAUGAGCCUAGGUCGGAUUAGCUAGUUGGUGAGGUAAUGGCUCACCAAGGCUACGAUCCGUAACUGGUCUGAGAGGAUGAUCAGUCACACUGGAACUGAGACACGGUCCAGACUCCUACGGGAGGCAGCAGUGGGGAAUAUUGGACAAUGGGCGAAAGCCUGAUCCAGCCAUGCCGCGUGUGUGAAGAAGGUCUUCGGAUUGUAAAGCACUUUAAGUUGGGAGGAAGGACAGUAAAUUAAUACUUUGCUGUUUGACGUUACCGACAGA